rnacentral:rRNA from 1 species
ACUAACAAGGAUUCCCCUAGUAACUGCGAGUGAAGCGGGAAAAGCUCAAAUUUAAAAUCUGGCGGUCUUUGGCCGUCCGAGUUGUAAUCUGGAGAAGUGCUUUCCGCUCUGGACCGUGUACAAGUCUCUUGGAAUAGAGCGUCAUAGAGGGUGAGAAUCCCGUCUUUGACACGGACUACCAGUGCUUUGUGAUGUGCUUUCAAAGAGUCGAGUUGUUUGGGAAUGCAGCUCAAAAUGGGUGGUAAAUUCCAUCUAAAGCUAAAUAUUGGCGAGAGACCGAUAGCGAACAAGUACCGUGAGGGAAAGAUGAAAAGCACUUUGGAAAGAGAGUUAAACAGUACGUGAAAUUGCUGAAAGGGAAACACUUGAAGUCAGUCGCGUUGUUCAGAACUCAGCCUKGCCUUGGCUUGGUGCAUUUUCUGAAUGACGGGCCAGCAUCAAUUUUGACUGUCGGAUAAAGGCCAGAGAAAUGUGGCUCCUUUGGGAGUGUUAUAGUCUUUGGUUGCAUACGAUGGUUGGGAUUGAGGAACUCAGCAUGCCUUUAUGGUCGGGGUUCGCCCACGUUCAUGCUUAGGAUGCUGGCGUAAUGGCUUUAAAUGACCCGUCUUGAAACACGGACCAAGGAGUCUAACAUGCCUGCGAGUGUUUGGGUGGAAAACCCGAGCGCGCAAUGAAAGUGAAAGUUGGGAUCUCUGUCGUGGAGAGCACCGACGCCCGGACCAGACCUUCUGUGACGGAUCCGCGGUAGAGCAUGUAUGUUGGGACCCGAAAGAUGGUGAACUAUGCCUGAAUAGGGUGAAGCCAGAGGAAACUCUGGUGGAGGCUCGUAGCGAUUCUGACGUGCAAAUCGAUCGUCAAAUUUGGGUAUAGGGGCGAAAGACUAAUCGAACC